rnacentral:rRNA from 1 species
GAUGAACGCUGGCGGCGUGCCUAAUACAUGCAAGUAGAACGCUGAAGGAAGGAGCUUGCUCUUUCCGGAUGAGUUGCGAACGGGUGAGUAACGCGUAGGUAACCUGCCUGGUAGCGGGGGAUAACUAUUGGAAACGAUAGCUAAUACCGCAUAACAGUAGAUAUCGCAUGAUAGCUGCUUGAAAGGUGCAAAUGCACCACUACCAGAUGGACCUGCGUUGUAUUAGCUAGUUGGUGAGGUAACGGCUCACCAAGGCAACGAUACAUAGCCGACCUGAGAGGGUGAUCGGCCACACUGGGACUGAGACACGGCCCAGACUCCUACGGGAGGCAGCAGUAGGGAAUCUUCGGCAAUGGACAGAAGUCUGACCGAGCAACGCCGCGUGAGUGAAGAAGGUUUUCGGAUCGUAAAGCU